GCGGCAAAGUGAAGGAGAUGAUGGCAUAGAAGAAUUACCUGGUAGGUGUGGCGAGGUGCAGGAGAUACAACAGACGAGAGUUGCUGAACGAUUCCUACGGCUCAGAAAUUUGUUCCUGGUGUUUUUUUCUUCUCUUGUUUGAGGGGGGAAAACACACACUCCCAAUAGAAGAAGGAUCAGAAAUUGGGGUCUCUCCAGUGAUGGUUCUCCAGCUACCUUGAGCUUUGAUAGAC
rnacentral:lncRNA from 1 species